AGAGAAAUUGCUGGAUCAUGUGGUAACUCUAUAGUUAACCUUUUGAAGAACUGCCAAACUGUUUUCCAAAGCAAUUAUACCCUUUUAAAAUCCCAUCAGCAAG
rnacentral:pre_miRNA from 1 species